GCCCAAGGCCGGCCCUGUGGAUGGGGAGCUGGCCGAGGAUGAGCUGUUCUCAGAGCCCGCACCUGCACAGAUCAGCUCAAGCAAUGUCAUCUUGAAGACGGGGUUUGAUUUUCUGGACAACUGGUAAAAUGUGUUAGAGGGAAACCCCACAACAAACCAAGAACCCCCCAGUGUUUUCCAAAGUGGCGGCGGAGGAGGGAAAGGGCAACGUUUCCCUGGGUUGUUUCCAGCUUCUGUACACAAUUUUUUAAAAUCUUUCAGGAACUGGUAAAUAUCGCCUUGUCCAGAUUUCUAGAUUUUCCCCUUUUGGUAAGACCAGAUACAUAUGCUAUUUUCAAUGAUUUGAUAGCAGGAGUUUUACAUUCGGAAUUUUUAAAAACUGUUAGGAAUUCAGUAAACCUGGUAACUAAAACUGGUCCAGCUGCACCAAUUUCCCUCCUCAGAGGUCUUCUCCACGUCACAAAAAUCAUAAAAGUCACUUCCAGCUCCUCCUCUGUCCCCUCCCGUUUUUCAAUGCGUGGGGUUACCUUUGAUAGGCGACGGUUGGUGAUGUCCUCAGCAACGGUGACAUCAGCAUGCCGGUGGUGAUCGUGGACAGAGUUGCUCCCCACGCGUCCCCCCCGCACUCCCAGCCGUCCAGGGCUUCCCUCGGUGAAGCCACACUUCUCGACUCGUGUGCCACCCUCCACCCUGGCGUCAUUUCCAGGAAACAGACUUGACACACGGCGGAGGCGCCUUUCAGCUGCCCUGAUAUUAUUCAUCGUUGUUUAAGAUUGCAUGUUUAGAGGUUUUGUAUUAACUUUUCAUUAUUUUGUAUCUAGAUUUAGCGGUUGCAGGGCUACCACUUUUCUUGGGUCUGUACCUUUUCCCUUUCGGACGUUCCUCGCUGCUUAUGUGGCCUGUGGGUGUCCCCUGUCCCGGGCACCUGCAGGAGGAAGGGCUGAUGGCAGGUGUCAUCGGAGGACAGAAAGGGCUCCUUUAUUCCAAGGACAGGUCAAGCUGUGUCCCCACCGACCCUCCCCCGACCCUGACCUCCAGCAGAGGGGGAAGAGUCCAGGUUCUGCACGGACCCAGCAGCGCCCCCUGGAGCCCUCUGCGGUCAUAGCAACAGCAUCUCCUGGAGUGGGGACCUCGCUGCCUGCUGCUGCUCCUUUGGGGUGGCCCCCCCGACGGGGUGGGAGGAAUACGGGCCUCCCCCGGGAGCCUGUGCCCUGACCAUGGCCCCUGAGCUGUGUGAACCUGCAGGACGUGCCCGACAAGCGUGAUCCGUGGCACCUCUCACUGUGCUCCCCUCACCUGACGCCUUAAUCCCAGCGAGUCCUGCCAGCACGCGCCUGGUCUCAAUAUCCAAGUGUGUGUUGUUAAAAAUGCCUCUUUGUUUCAUAGGACAAAUCUGAAAUGAUUUCCAGAAUAUUUUAUCUGGCUCCAAGGUGAAGCACGUGGCAGCGUUUUUGUUUUUUCCAGGAAGGUUUCUGCCAAAGCUGUGGCUUAGCCAAUGUUUGGUUUGGUUCCUGCCAAUUGCUUAACGUCCCUAAACCUCCUUUGGCUCCUUGGACACUGGAUUUAACCUUCCUCCUUUGCUAACCAUCUUUAUUGGGGCAAAUACAGGUUCUUUCUGUACCAUUUAAGUGUAGUUGAACUAUACAAAGGAAAGGUUUCGAGCAUGGUGGUGAGCGAAAGGAUCCUAGAAAUCCCGGGGUCAGCGCCUCCGCCAGCUGCAGAGCCUCCAGUCUGGCUGACCCCCUGCCUCGAGGGCAGUGAGCUGUCGUCGAACCCAGGCUUAAAGAUGGUCCCUUAAAAACAGGGAGACGUGCAGACGGAGUUUGUAGCCCUCCGUGGUGGCAGCAGGGAAGAAGGAUUUGUGUCCUGGGACGGUUAGCCCAAGGUGACCUGUCCGUUCUCCUGGGAGACGAUUCUCAUUUCUCCCCCACUUUCUCAUAAAGCCCAGUAGCCCCUUCAGGUUCUCCUGGGGAAUCCUGGAGGGAGACCUAAGUCGCGUUGCUUUGCUCCGCUUUUGGAAGUAAAGGAACGUGAGAGGGAGAAGCGAAGGCCUGGAGGACUCUGGCUCGGGGUCUGCACCCUGCCUGACCUGCGGGUCCUCGUAACCGUGGCAGCCAGUACAGGGGGGCUCCUCUCCUGUCCUGGGAAUCCGUCUUCAGUGUAUCCAAAUUAGGGAAAAUUGAGCUCUCGCGUCUGCCAUCUCUUUCCCCCCCGUGUAUCAGGAUGGGCUUCUGAAACCAGGAGUUUCUAUUUGUUAUUUUUAAAACACACCCUUUUCAGCUGAAGCCUGUAUGUUUCUGGAUUCCCCCCACCCCCUGCACCCGGGACUCUGCUCAGGAUUCAGUGUCUUGCUUUGGGUGACUGUCUUUUGCAAAAUCUCUCCCAAGAAGUUCAGAAACCAGUCUGAGUUCUUUCACUGGGGGUCCGUCCCCCAGUCUCUGGGUCUGGGGGCGCCGCCCUCAUUGGGAACUGCGGGGUUCACAGCCCCCACCUGAGUGGAGGUCAGAGCGGCCUCCCUUUCUUUGCGCCUCUCUUUCUUUGAUACACGUUUUCAGAAGUGAAAGUUCUUACUGACUACUUGUAACUUGGUUGUAUUUUAUAUUAAUAGCCUUUAAUAAAGCCAUUUAAAAUAUUCUA